rnacentral:rRNA from 1 species
UACGUAGGGUGCGAGCGUCAAUCGGAAUUACUGGGCGUAAAGGGUACGCAGGCGGCUUCGCAAGUCAGACGUGAAAUCCCCGGGCUCAACUUGGGAAUGGCGUUUGAGACUACGAGGCUUGAGUGUGGCAGAGGGAGGUGGAAUUCCACGUGUAGCGGUGAAAUGCGUAGAGAUGUGGAGGAACACCGAUGGCGAAGGCAGCCUCCUGGGCCAACACUGACGCUCAUGCACGAAAGCGUGGGGAGCAAACAGG